AUACUUACCUGGCAGGGGAGAUACCACCGCCGUCCUUGAAGGUGGUUCACCCAGGCGGCUCAGCCAUUGCUUCGGUUGUGCUGACCGUCUUAUUCCCAAAUGUGGGAAUCUCGACUGCAUAAUUUGUGGUAGUGGGGAGACUGCGUCCGCGCUCUCCCCUG